UCAAGUGCGGCAUGGGCCCUCGGCCGGGACCCAGUUUCUUGCGUUGCGUACCUACACGAUGGCAUCUGUUUUCGUCCCAACGACCCUCGUUCGUUUAGUGGCACCCCCCGUUUUGCUGGGGGCGCACAAGGCGAAACUCGUAGCGUGGUCCGUUACCCACGUCGCGUCCGGCUGUCGUGGUGAACGGGGCACUGCUGGAGCUCUCGGAUAUGGAAAAAGCAUAGAGGGCAUUGACGUCUCGUCGUUGCCCCGAGCUCGCAUUAUUAGUAGAUGGACCCGAACGCCGGUGCACGACUGUCGCUCCCGCCUCGGUUCGGCCGUGCGGGCAGAGGACGUCGUUGAGGAAUGCUACCUGGUUGAUCCUGCCAGUA
rnacentral:misc_RNA from 1 species